rnacentral:rRNA from 1 species
UACGUAGGGUGCAAGCGUUACUCGGAAUUACUGGGCGUAAAGCGUGCGCAGGCGGUUUUGUAAGUCUGACGUGAAAUCCCCGGGCUUAACCUGGGAAUUGCGUUGGAGACUGCAAGGCUAGAAUCUGGCAGAGGGGGGUAGAAUUCCACGUGUAGCAGUGAAAUGCGUAGAGAUGUGGAGGAACACCGAUGGCGAAGGCAGCCCCCUGGGUCACGAUUGACGCUCAUGCACGAAAGCGUGGGGAGCAAACAGG